rnacentral:lncRNA from 1 species
GGAAGAGGUUAGGAUUUGAAUCAAUGGUCUGAGUAAAGAUCACCCUCACCAAUGGGGACGGGCAUCAUCAAAUCCUUUGAGGGCCCAUAUGGAACAUAAAGGUGAAGGGAGAUUUAAUUUUCUCUCCCUGUUUAAGCUAAGACAUCCAUCUUCUCCUGCCCUAGGUUAUCCUUGCUCCUGGUGCUCUAACCUUGAGACUUUGACUGGGACUUGCAACACUGGCUUCAUGGUUCUCAGGCCUUCAGGUUUGCACUGAAACUACGUCGCUGGUUUCCUUGGGCCUCCAGCUUGCAGACUCAAAUUAUAGGGGAACUUAUUUGCCUUCUUAAUCAUGCUAUGAAAAUGAUGUUAGACAAAAAGCAAAUUUGAGAAAUGUUCUGAUUCAAGUUCAAAAUGGGUCGUAAAGCAGCAGAGACAACUCUCAACAUCGACAAUGCAUUUGACUCAGGAACUGCUAACACAUGUCCAGUGCGGUGGUGGUUCAAGAAGUUUUGCACAGGAGACAAGAGCCUUAAAGAUGAGGAGCACAGUGGCUGGCCAUUAGAAGUUGACAAUGACCAGUUGAGAGCAAUCAUCGAAGCUGAUCCUCUUACAACUACACAAGAAGUUGCCGAAGGACUUAACAUAGACCAUUCUAUAGUCAUUCGGCAUUUGAAGUGAAUUGGAAAGGUUAAAAUCUCGAAAAGUGGGUACCUCAUGAGCUGGGCAAAAAUUUUAAAAAUCAUCGUUUUGAAGUGUCAUUUUCUCUUAUUCUACAGAAAAUCAAUAAACUAUUUCUUAAUUGGAUUGUGAUGUGUGGAGAAAAGUGGAUUUUAUACAACUACCAGCAAUGACUGGCUUAGUAGUUGGGCCAAGAAGAAACAUCAAAGCAUUUCCCAAAGACAAGUUUGCAUACACACACACACAAAAGUUCAUGGUCACUGUUUGGUGGUCUGCUGCAGGUCUGAUCCAUUACAGCUUUCUGAAUCUCAUCAAAACCAUUACAUCUGAGAAGUAUGCUCAGCAAUCUAUGAGAUGCAACAAAAACUGCAACCCCUGUAGCCGGCAUUUGUCAACAGAAAGAGCUCAAUUCUUCACAACAAUGGCCAUCACACAACCAACACUUCAGAAGUUGAGUGAAUUGAAUUCAAAAGUUGUUGAAUGAAUUCAUUCAAAAGUUGAAUGAAUCCAUUCAAAAGUUGAAUGAAUUGGGCUAUGAAGUUUUGUCUCAUCCACCAUAUUCACCUUACCUCUCACCAACCACCACUUCGUCAAACAUCUCAACAACUUUUUGCAGGGAAAAUGUUUCCACAACCAGCAGGAUGCAGAAAAUGCUUUCCAAGAAUUCUUCAAAUCCCAAAGCAUGAAUUUCUAUGCUACAGGAAUAAACAAACUUAUUUCUCAUUGGCAAA